GUGGGGAAUCUUGCGCAAUGGGCGAAAGCCUGACGCAGCAACGCCGCGUGGAGGAUGAAGGCCCUUGGGUUGUAAACUCCUGUCGGUUGGGAAGAAAUCGUGCGGUGCUCAUACCACUGCACGUUGACUGUACCAGCAAAGGAAGCCCCGGCUAACUCUGUGCCAGCAGCCGCGGUAAUACAGAGGGGGCCAGCGUUAUUCGGAAUUAUUGGGCGUAAAGGGCGCGUAGGCGGCCUUGCGUGUCUUUCGUGAAAUCCCUCGGCUUAACUGAGGACGUGCGGAAGAAACUGCAGGGCUCGAGUCCGGGAGAGGGGGGUGGAAUUCCCAGUGUAGCGGUGAAAUGCGUAGAUAUUGGGAGGAACACCGGUGGCGAAGGCGGCCCCCUGGACCGGUACUGACGCUGAGGCGCGAAAGCGUGGGGAGCAAACGGGAUUAGAAACCCGUGUAGUCC
rnacentral:rRNA from 1 species